rnacentral:tRNA from 1 species
UUUCUAAUUUUUAGAAAAUUGUAAGUUUUCUUUUUAUAAUUAGAGUA